ACUCCUAUCUACUAAUGGUUAGGUAAUCGGUCUCUCAAGCCGAAAAUACGGGUUCGAAUCCCGUUGGGAGUA
rnacentral:tRNA from 1 species